GGGUGCGCGCUUAUCAUGCAGUCGACGGAGGCCCUAGCUUGCUAGGUGUCCUUAGUGGCGCACGGGUGAGUAACACGUGGGAACAUACCUUAUAGUACGGAAUAACUGCGGGAAACUGUAGCUAAUACCGUAUACUCCAGUAAUGGGAAAGAUUUAUCGCUAUAAGAUUGGCCCGCGCAAGAUUAGCUUGUUGGUGAGGUAAAAGCUCACCAAGGCUUCGAUCUUUAGCUGGUUUGAGAGGACGAUCAGCCACACUGGGACUGAGACACGGCCCAGACUCCUACGGGAGGCAGCAGUAGGGAAUAUUGGACAAUGGGGGCAACCCUGAUCCAGCAAUGCAGCGUGAGUGACGAAGGCCUUAGGGUUGUAAAACUCUUUCAUCGGUGAGGAUAAUGACAGUAGCCGAAGAAGAAGGACCGGCUAAUUCCGUGCCAGCAGCCGCGGUAAUACGGAAGGUCCUAGCGUUGUUCGGAAUUACUGGGCGUAAAGCGCAUGUAGGCGGAACAGAAAGUUAGAAGUGAAAUCCCUGGGCUCAACCUAGGAAUUGCUUUUAAAACUUCUGUUCUGGAAUUCAGGAGAGGAAAAUGGAAUUUCCAGUGUAGAGGUGAAAUUCGUAGAUAUUGGAAGGAACACCAGUGGCGAAGGCGAUUUUCUGGACUGAUAUUGACGCUGAGAUGCGAAGGCAUGGGUAGCAAACGGGAUUAGAUACCCCGGUAGUCCAUGCAGUAAACGAUGGGUGCUAGUCGUCGGACUUUUGUUCGGUGUCGUAGCUAACGCGUUAAGCACCCCGCCUGGGGAGUACGGUCGCAAGAUUAAAACUCAAAUAAAUUG
rnacentral:rRNA from 1 species